rnacentral:rRNA from 1 species
GACGAACGCUGGCGGCGUGCUUAACACAUGCAAGUCGAACGGAAAGGCGCUGCUUUUGUGGGGUGCUCGAGUGGCGAACGGGUGAGUAAAACGUGAGUAACCUGUACUUGACUUUGGGAUAACUUCAGGAAACUGGGGAUCAUAUAGGAUAGGAGAUCUUGCUGCAUGGUGGGGGUUGGAAAGUUUCGGCGGUUGGGGAUGGACUCGCAGCUUAUCAGCCUGUUGGUGGGGUAGUGGCUUACCAAGGCUUUGAAGGGUAGCCGGCCUGAGCGGGGGGCCGGCCACAAUAGGACUGAGGGACGGACCAGAAGCCAACGGGACGCAGCAGGCGGGAAUAUGACACAAUAAGCGGAAGCCAGAGACGGCAACGCCGCGUUCGGAAUGACGGCCUUCUAGUUGUAAACCACUGUCGCCUGUGACAAAGCGGUAGUGACGGUAAUGGAUAAAGAAGCACCGGCUAACUACGUG